rfam:Medicago truncatula strain A17 chromosome 4, whole genome shotgun sequence.
AUGGCGGUCCGAAACCCAUACUUUUCACUUUCGAACGGGUGAGUGUACUAUCACUUUGGAAGACGUCUAUAUGUUACUCGGCUUACCUUUUGGAGGUUCAAUUGUUACGGCUCCUCCAA